rnacentral:rRNA from 1 species
AAAUUGAAGAGUUUGAUCAUGGCUCAGAUUGAACGCUGGCGGCAGGCCUAACACAUGCAAGUCGAGCGGUAACACAGAGAGCUUGCUCUCGGGUGACGAGCGGCGGACGGGUGAGUAAUGUCUGGGAAACUGCCUGAUGGAGGGGGAUAACUACUGGAAACGGUAGCUAAUACCGCAUAACGUCGCAAGACCAAAGUGGGGGACCUUCGGGCCUCAUGCCAUCAGAUGUGCCCAGAUGGGAUUAGCUAGUAGGUGGGGUAACGGCUCACCUAGGCGACGAUCCCUAGCUGGUCUGAGAGGAUGACCAGCCACACUGGAACUGAGACACGGUCCAGACUCCUACGGGAGGCAGCAGUGGGGAAUAUUGCACAAUGGGCGCAAGCCUGAUGCAGCCAUGCCGCGUGUGUGAAGAAGGCCUUCGGGUUGUAAAGCACUUUCAGCGGGGAGGAAGGCGGUGAGGUUAAUAACCUCACCGAUUGACGUUACCCGCAGAAGAAGCACCGGCUAACUCCGUGCCAGCAGCCGCGGUAAUACGGAGGGUGCAAGCGUUAAUCGGAAUUACUGGGCGUAAAGCGCACGCAGGCGGUCUGUCAAGUCGGAUGUGAAAUCCCCGGGCUCAACCUGGGAACUGCAUUCGAAACUGGCAGGCUAGAGUCUUGUAGAGGGGGGUAGAAUUCCAGGUGUAGCGGUGAAAUGCGUAGAGAUCUGGAGGAAUACCGGUGGCGAAGGCGGCCCCCUGGACAAAGACUGACGCUCAGGUGCGAAAGCGUGGGGAGCAAACAGGAUUAGAUACCCUGGUAGUCCACGCCGUAAACGAUGUCGAUUUGGAGGUUGUGCCCUUGAGGCGUGGCUUCCGGAGCUAACGCGUUAAAUCGACCGCCUGGGGAGUACGGCCGCAAGGUUAAAACUCAAAUGAAUUGACGGGGGCCCGCACAAGCGGUGGAGCAUGUGGUUUAAUUCGAUGCAACGCGAAGAACCUUACCUGGUCUUGACAUCCACAGAACUUUCCAGAGAUGGAUUGGUGCCUUCGGGAACUGUGAGACAGGUGCUGCAUGGCUGUCGUCAGCUCGUGUUGUGAAAUGUUGGGUUAAGUCCCGCAACGAGCGCAACCCUUAUCCUUUGUUGCCAGCGGUCCGGCCGGGAACUCAAAGGAGACUGCCAGUGAUAAACUGGAGGAAGGUGGGGAUGACGUCAAGUCAUCAUGGCCCUUACGACCAGGGCUACACACGUGCUACAAUGGCAUAUACAAAGAGAAGCGACCUCGCGAGAGCAAGCGGACCUCAUAAAGUAUGUCGUAGUCCGGAUUGGAGUCUGCAACUCGACUCCAUGAAGUCGGAAUCGCUAGUAAUCGUAGAUCAGAAUGCUACGGUGAAUACGUUCCCGGGCCUUGUACACACCGCCCGUCACACCAUGGGAGUGGGUUGCAAAAGAAGUAGGUAGCUUAACCUUCGGGAGGGCGCUUACCACUUUGUGAUUCAUGACUGGGGUGAAGUCGUAACAAGGUAACCGUAGGGGAACCUGCGGUUGGAUCACCUCCUUA